rnacentral:rRNA from 1 species
GAUGAACGCUGGCGGCGUGCCUAAUACAUGCAAGUCGAGCGAACAGACGAGGAGCUUGCUCCUCUGACGUUAGCGGCGGACGGGUGAGUAACACGUGGAUAACCUACCUAUAAGACUGGGAUAACUUCGGGAAACCGGAGCUAAUACCGGAUAAUAUAUUGAACCGCAUGGUUCAAUAGUGAAAGACGGUUUUGCUGUCACUUAUAGAUGGAUCCGCGCCGCAUUAGCUAGUUGGUAAGGUAACGGCUUACCAAGGGAACGAUGCGUAGCCGACCUGAGAGGGUGAUCGGCCACACUGGAACUGAGACACGGUCCAGACUCCUACGGGAGGCAGCAGUAGGGAAUCUUCCGCAAUGGGCGAAAGCCUGACGGAGCAACGCCGCGUGAGUGAUGAAGGUCUUCGGAUCGUAAAACUCUGUUAUUAGGGAAGAACAAAUGUGUAAGUAACUAUGCACGUCUUGACGGUACCUAAUCAGAAAGCCACGGCUAACUACGUG